CAGUCGCCACGGUAAUACAGAGGGUGCGAGCGUUAAUCGGAUUUACUGGGCGUAAAGCGUGCGUAGGCGGCUUCUUAAGUCGGAUGUGAAAUCCCUGAGCUUAACUUAGGAAUUGCAUUCGAUACUGGGAAGCUAGAGUAUGGGAGAGGAUGGUAGAAUUCCAGGUGUAGCGGUGAAAUGCGUAGAGAUCUGGAGGAAUACCGAUGGCGAAGGCAGCCAUAUGGCCUAAUACUGACGCUGAGGUACGAAAGCAUGGGGAGCAAACAGGAUUAGAUACCCCAGUAGUCCCUGUCUCUUAUAC
rnacentral:rRNA from 1 species